CGACACGCACUACGUUCAACACAUUUUCCAGGCAGACGUGCUUUCGAUUCUACGUAUUAGUUAUCUUUUCUACCGCUUCCAAUAGGUUUAGUUUUUGAUCCCUUUUCUAUUAUCUUCUUCUCUACUGUGCUACCGACACCUUCUCUACCUGCUUUCUACACCUGCACCUGCAUUUUCCUCUAUUCUCGAAACCAACUGGAUUCGACGACAGUUUCCUCGGAUUAUGAGUCUCACCAAACGCUGGCAUCUGUGUGUGGGAUUACCUCUGCCACGUCGGAGCAAAGAAGGCGGUCCGGACCUUUAUUUCGAAGUCGAUUGAAGUGACAUCAACCUCAGCGAUUCGUCAGACUGGCUCAACACUUCGCGGAACGUCGCUGGUCCGACGUUGAAUGCACUGCUCCCAACCGCCGCGAGCAGGUCGAGCGCAGCGUCAGAUCCAGAGGCCUACGUGAACUGCAUUACCGAUAGAGCAAGGCCCAAGAGUAUGCCGGCGCCCCAUGCCAGGUUACAACGGCGGUCAGCUGUGCGCGGCCCGUCAUGCUGGCCCAAUUCUGGGACCACCGAAUGCCAAUGUCUGAACAGGUCUUCGCUGUGACGCGUUUUAUAACGAUGGGCAACAAGUUUGAGGGUCUACAAGCUCGAAACGCGACGGUCCGCCCAUUGGGCCCGAUAUGCCAGCGAUGGACGGAUGGGAACGCUCGCGGUAGGCCCCUGAUGCCCUUCUCCAGGGCGUUGUAAGAUGGCCUCCGCGUCAGUCAGUAAAAUACCGUCAGUAAUUCGGGGCCCAACGUAUCGUAAAUGCAAAGUCCACAGGAUCAAGGUAGUGCGGGGAAUUCGUACUGCCUUAUGAAGUAGAAAUCGUCGUGGGAUUCCACUUCAUCAAACUUGUGACGUCGCGGUUUCACGGC